rnacentral:rRNA from 1 species
GACAGAGGGUGCAAACGUUGUUCGGAAUUACUGGGCGUAAAGCGUGUGUAGGCGGCUUUGCAAGUCGGAUGUGAAAGCCCCGGGCUCAACCCGGGAAGUGCACUCGGUACUGCAGAGCUUGAGUGUGGGAGAGGUUGGUGGAAUUCCUGGUGUAGCGGUGAAAUGCGCAGAUAUCAGGAGGAACACCGGUGGCGAAGGCGGGUCUCUGGGCCGUAACUGACGCUGAGGAGCGAAAGCGUGGGGAGCGAACAGG